AUUGAACGCUGGCGGCAGGCCUAACACAUGCAAGUCGAGCGGAUGACGGGAGCUUGCUCCUUGAUCCCGCGUCGGACGGGUGUGUAAUGCCUAGGAAUCUGCCUGGCAGUGGGGGACAACGUUCCGAAAGGAGCGCUACUACCGCAUACUUCCUACGGGAGCAAGUGGGGGAUCUUCGGACCUCACGCUAUCAGAUGAGUCUAGGUCGGACUAGCUAGAUGGUGGGUUAAUGGCUCACUUAGCCGACCAUCCGCAACUGGUCGGAGUGAAUGAUCAGUCGCACUAGAGGUGGGACGCGGUCCAUGCGCCUACGGGAGGCAGCAGUGGCGAAUGUUGGACAAUGGGCGAGAACCUGGUCCAGCCAGGCGGCGUGUGUGAAGAAGGUCUUGGGAUUGUAAAGCACUUUAAGUGGGUGGGAAGGGCAGUAAGUUGAUACCUUGCUGUUUUGACGUUACCGAGAGAAUAAGCACCGGCUAACUCUGUG
rnacentral:rRNA from 1 species